AUGAACGCUAGCUACAGGCUUAACACAUGCAAGUCGAGGGGCAGCAUGGUCUAGCUUGCUAAGGCCGAUGGCGACCGGCGCACGGGUGAGUAACACGUAUCCAACCUGCCGUCUACUCUUGGACAGCCUUCUGAAAAGGAAGAUUAAUACAAGAUGGCAUCAUGAGUUCACAUGUUCACAUGAUUAAAGGUAUUCCGGUAGACGAUGGGGAUGCGUUCCAUUAGAUAGUAGGCGGGGUAACGGCCCACCUAGUCUUCGAUGGAUAGGGGUUCUGAGAGGAAGGUCCCCCACAUUGGAACUGAGACACGGUCCAAACUCCUACGGGAGGCAGCAGUGAGGAAUAUUGGUCAAUGGGCGCAGGCCUGAACCAGCCAAGUAGCGUGAAGGAUGACUGCCCUAUGGGUUGUAAACUUCUUUUAUAAAGGAAUAAAGUCGGGUAUGUAUACCCGUUUGCAUGUACUUUAUGAAUAAGGAUCGGCUAACUCCGUG
rnacentral:rRNA from 1 species